AGAGCCAGAGACGCUGCUCCCGCGGGAGGCCGCCCGCUACCUGGGGCGCCCGCCAGCGCCUCCUUCCCGGAUCCCAGCCGCCCCUGAUCCCGGGUUCCUCCAGGCCCGCAGCACCGUCCAGCCACCUCACUUGCCCUUCCCGCUUCGAGGCCAGCCGCUGGCCCGGCUACCUUCUCGGACAUCCUGGGGCGCCCCCCGCCCCAACCUCCUUGCAGCCUGGCCCAUCUCUGAGUCCCACCCGAGGUUGGGUACCAAGGCCUCCAGCUUCCGGGCCCCGUGACACCACCUCAGGGGUGCAGGCUGCUUCCACCUGCUGAGGCGCUGGGCCCAGCGAGCCCCCUCAGAAAGGCUGCGGUGGCGGUGCGGGGGUCUGUCUCCAGGCGUGCUGAGGGGCUUUGCCGAGACCCUGUCUCCUGCCCUUGGGCCCUCCACAUCCCUCAGGGAGACAGCCUUGGUCUGUUAGUGUCCUGGUUGUCAGAGUGACAGCGCUCGCUGACUCUCCUGAACAAGCCGAGGGAAGCCUGACUGGCCGGUGGACAAGGCCGCACUUUUUCACCCAAGUGGACGGUGGGAGGGACUCCUGCGGCCCCUCCGCGUGCCCGACCUGCAGGAGACUGUGGCACUAUAGGGACUUGAGAAGAUUCACCAAGAGAACCAUGCCGGCAUCCUAAUUACAGGGGCAAAUAAGGGUCUUUACAGGACCGGAGGUGUGGCUCCAGAAAUAAUCAAAUGCAGGGGACAUUUGUGAGCCAGUGUGAGUUGGCUCCCUGGUCUGGGAAGAUCCCACAUGCUGUGGAACAACUAAGCCCAUGUGCCACAACCACUGAGCCUGUGAUCGCAGAACCUGUGAGCUGCAAUUACCGAGCCUACGCCCCCUAGAGCCCGUGCUCAGCAACAAGAGAAGCCACCGCAAUGAGAAGCCUGCACACCGCAACUAGAGAGUAGCCUCCGUUUACUGCAACUACAGGAAAGCCCACACAGUAAUGAAGACCCCCGCACAGCCAAAUAAUAAUAAUAACAAUAACAUAAAACUGAAAAAAAAAUGCACAUCUUGCAAAAGAGGGUAGGUAACUUGGACCUUAACUGGUCAAGGACAAAUAGAAAUUCUAAGUGGAUCCUUCUAGCACCUGCCCUUGCUCGUGUGUGUCUUCCCACUGGCUCCCAGCAUUUGCCUUCCAUGUAUUUAAUUGACUAAUUCCAGCAGGCAGGUAGAGAGUGCUCAGAAUUAUUAACCCUUACCUUCAGGAGGAGCAAUGUUGGUAACUACAGCCAACGGCUUAUAUGUCGCCCCUUCUGCUUUUGCUUUUGACAGAUGCCAUUCAUUUCCAAAGUGACGUAGAUCAGCUCCUUUCCAUCCCACCCCCUAUUCAGUGACGUGGUUUUGUACAUUUCUAAUACGUGUCGAUUCUUUUUGUCACAGUCUGCAUUCCUUCUGAGGCUGAAUCGAGUCUCAGAGACAGAGUUUCAU
ensembl:lncRNA